GUGCCAGCAGCCGCGGUAAUACGGAGGGUGCGAGCGUUGUCCGGAAUCACUGGGCGUAAAGGGCGCGUAGGUGGCUGGGGUAGUCAACGGUGAAAGCUCGGGGCUCAACCCCGAGUCGGCCGUCGAUACUCCUCGGCUCGAGCUUACUAGAGGCAGAUGGAAUUCCGGGUGUAGCGGUGGAAUGCGUAGAGAUCCGGAAGAACACCGGUGGCGAAGGCGGUCUGCUGGGGUAAGGCUGACACUGAGGCGCGACAGCGUGGGGAGCAAACAGGAUUAGAUACCCGCGUAGUCC
rnacentral:rRNA from 1 species